UACGUAGGGUGCAAGCGUUGUCCGGAAUUAUUGGGCGUAAAGAGCUCGUAGGCGGUCUGUCGCGUCUGCUGUGAAAAUCCAGGGCUCAACCCUGGACCUGCAGUGGGUACGGGCAGACUAGAGUGCGGUAGGGGAAAUCGGAAUUCCUGGUGUAGCGGUGAAAUGCGCAGAUAUCAGGAGGAACACCGGUGGCGAAGGCGGAUCUCUGGGCCGUAACUGACGCUGAGGAGCGAAAGCGUGGGGAGCGAACAGG
rnacentral:rRNA from 1 species